rnacentral:rRNA from 1 species
AUUGAACGCUGGCGGCAGGCCUAACACAUGCAAGUCGAGCGGCAGCGGGAAAGUAGCUUGCUACUUUUGCCGGCGAGCGGCGGACGGGUGAGUAAUGCCUGGGAAAUUGCCCAGUCGAGGGGGAUAACAGUUGGAAACGACUGCUAAUACCGCAUACGCCCUACGGGGGAAAGCAGGGGACCUUCGGGCCUUGCGCGAUUGGAUAUGCCCAGGUGGGAUUAGCUAGUUGGUGAAGUAAUGGCUCACCAAGGCGACGAUCCCUAGCUGGUCUGAGAGGAUGAUCAGCCACACUGGAACGGAAACACGGUCCAGACUCCUCCGGGAGGCAGCAGUGGGGAAUAUUGCACAAUGGGGGAAACCCGGAUGCAGCCAGGCCGCGUGUGUGAAGAAGGCCUUCGGGUUGUAAAGCACUUUCAGCGAGGAGGAAAGGUUGAUGCCUAAUACGUAUCAACUGUGACGUUACUCGCAGAAGAAGCACCGGCUAACUCCGUGCCAGCAGCCGCCGUAAAAC